UACGGGGGGGGCAAGCGUUGUUCGGAAUUACUGGGCGUAAAGGGCUCGUAGGUGGCCAACUAAGUCAGACGUGAAAUCCCUCGGCUUAACCGGGGAACUGCGUCUGAUACUGGAUGGCUUGAGUUCGGGAGAGGGAUGCGGAAUUCCAGGUGUAGCGGUGAAAUGCGUAGAUAUCUGGAGGAACACCGGUGGCGAAAGGCGGCAUCCUGGACCGACACUGACGCUGAGGAGCGAAAGCCAGGGGGAGCAAAACGGGG
rnacentral:rRNA from 1 species